GGGCCGCUAGCUCAGCUGGUAGAGCAACGCCCUUUUAAGGCGUGGGUCACAGGUUCGAAUCCUGUGCGGCUCA
rnacentral:tRNA from 3 species